UUCUUCCUUGUGCUGCCAGUUGCCAUCGUUGCUGCAUUAGCAAUAAUUAAGCGGGAUGCAAUAAGGAGAAAAUUUUGCAGGAAGAGUAGAAGACAGCACAGGGAUAACAAUGUGCAGGAAGCAAAGCAAGAUAACAAACCAAGUCAUGACACAAGAAAUAAUCAGCCUGCCACAUCAAGUCCAGAUAUUUUUACCAUAUUGCAUUUUCCUGGUACAAGGCACCCAGUACAAACCCAAUUUCCUGCAGUUCCCUCAGGACCUCAACGACCCCCAGUCCCACCUAGACCAGCAGUCUGAAAAGCUUCUUGGGAACCCUCAACCAAUUCUGACAAGUAACUGGCCUGAAAAAAAACCAAAUUACAAGAUUUCAAUCCUCCAGUCCUCUCCUUGUGCGGCCAAAAUGCCUUUGGGAAGCACGUGCCUCUGGGAAAGGCUGGAUGCCAAGAGGCACUGAACGCAGAUUUGGUGACUCCCAAUGUUUUGCUACUUGCUGCUGGCUGUGUUUGUGCCUCCUCUACCUCACCUCUUGGUUUUUUAAAUCAGAAGCCUGAAGUUCAACACUCAUAGGAUUACACUUGUGACAGUGUGUAAGUCUGAGGUGCAGGCCAAGGAGAAGU
rnacentral:lncRNA from 1 species